AGCUUUGCGCAGUGGCAGUAUCAUAGGCAAUGAGGUUCAUUCAAGAUGUGAUUAUUGCUAGUAAAUACCUUCAGUUCAUCUGGCUAAAAUGUCCCCAUUGACACUAAAUGCAGCUAUUUCAGCAUUCUCUUCCAUGCU
ensembl:snRNA U4 U4 spliceosomal RNA